rnacentral:misc_RNA from 1 species
GGGGAUUGCUGAGAAGUAAUCAAAGUGGGUUAGGGGGGAUUACUAUUCCCCCCCUCUCUCUCCUCACCAUCAAAGUUAUGUUCUUGUGAGCUGAAUUCACAGAAAUUGGCCCCUCAAAGGAGUGAAAUUGAAUUGAUCAGGGAACGCAGCUAUGGAGGCUAAUGCCGGCCUGGUCGCCGGCUCUCACAAUAGGAAUGAAUUUGUGAAGAUUCGGCAUGAGGGGGAAGCAGGGCCCAAGCCCCUGAACAAUAUGCAUGGGCAAGUGUGCCAGAUCUGUGGUGAUACUGCGCUUACAGAUCUGGCACACUUGCCC